rnacentral:rRNA from 1 species
AUUGAACGCUGGCGGCAGGCCUAACACAUGCAAGUCGAGCGGAUGAAGGGAGCUUGCUCCUGGAUUCAGCGGCGGACGGGUGAGUAAUGCCUAGGAAUCUGCCUGGUAGUGGGGGAUAACGUCCGGAAACGGGCGCUAAUACCGCAUACGUCCUGAGGGAGAAAGUGGGGGAUCUUCGGACCUCACGCUAUCAGAUGAGCCUAGGUCGGAUUAGCUAGUUGGUGGGGUAAAGGCCUACCAAGGCGACGAUCCGUAACUGGUCUGAGAGGAUGAUCGGUCACACUGGAACUGAGACACGGUCCAGACUCCUACGGGAGGCAGCAGUGGGGAAUAUUGGACAAAGGGCGAAAGCCUGAUCCAGCCAUGCCGCGUGUGUGAAGAAGGUCUUCGGAUUGUAAAGCACUUUAAGUUGGGAGGAAGGGCAGUAAGUUAAUACCUUGCUGUUUUGACGUCACCAACAGAAUAAGCACCGGCUAACUUCGUG